CACGUAGGGGGCGAGCGUUGUCCGGAUUUAUUGGGCGUAAAGAGCGUGUAGGCGGCCAGGUAGGUCUGCUGUGAAAACUCGAGGCUCAACCUCGAGACGUCGGCGGAAACCAUCUGGCUAGAGUCCGGAAGAGGAGAGUGGAAUUCCUGGUGUAGCGGUGAAAUGCGCAGAUAUCAGGAAGAACACCCGUGGCGAAGGCGGCUCUCUGGGACGGUACUGACGCUGAGACGCGAAAGCGUGGGGAGCGAACAGG
rnacentral:rRNA from 1 species